rnacentral:snRNA from 1 species
AUACUUACCUGGCAGGGGAGACACCUCUGGUUUUCCCAGGGCGAGGCUUAUCCAUUACACUCUGGAUGUGCUAACCCCUGCGAUUUCCCCAAAUGUGGGAAACGCGACUGCAUAAUUUGUGGUAGUGGGGGACUGCGUUCACUGUCUCCCC